UACGUAGGGGGCUAGCGUUGCUCGGAAUGACUGGGCGUAAAGGGCACGUAGGCGGCUUGUAUAGUCGGAUGUGAAAUUCCUGGGCUUAACCUGGGGGCUGCAUACGAGACGUAUGGGCUUGAGUGCGGAAGAGGGUCGUGGAAUUCCCAGUGUAGAGGUGAAAUUCGUAGAUAUUGGGAAGAAACACCGGUGGCGAAGGCGGCGACCUGGUCCGUGACUGACGCUGAGGCGCGAAAGCGUGGGGAGCAAACAGG
rnacentral:rRNA from 1 species